rfam:Gossypium hirsutum cultivar TM-1 scaffold6993.1_1, whole genome shotgun sequence
GGGUGCGAUCAAUCUUACACUAAUGCAUUGGGUCCCAUCAAAACUCCGCAAUUAAGCGCGCUUGGGCGAGAGUAGUACUAGGAUGGGUGAUCUCCUUGGAAGUCCUUGUGUUACACACC